AGUGAACGCUGGCGGUAGGCCUAACACAUGCAAGUCGAACGGCAGCACAGUAAGAGCUUGCUCUUACGGGUGGCGAGUGGCGGACGGGUGAGGAAUACAUCGGAAUCUACUUUUUCGUGGGGAUAACGUAGGGAAACUUACGCUAAUACCGCAUACGAUUUACGGGUGAAAGCAGGUGAUCUUCGGACCUUGUGCGAUUGAAUGAGCCGAUGUCGGAUUAGCUAGUUGGCGGGGUAAAGGCCCACCAAGGCGACGAUCCGUAGCUGGUCUGAGAGGGUGAUCAGCCACACUGGAACUGAGACACGGUCCAGACUCCUACGGGAGGCAGCAGUGGGGAAUAUUGGGCAAUGGGCGCAAGCCUGAUCCAGCCAUACCGCGUGGGUGAAGAAGGCCUUCGGGUUGUAAAGCCCUUUUGUUGGGAAAGAAAAGCAGCAGGUUAAUACCCCGCUGUUCUGACGGUACCCAAAGAAUAAGCACCGGCUAACUUCGUG
rnacentral:rRNA from 1 species